UACGGAGGGUGCAAGCGUUGUCCGGAUUUAUUGGGUUUAAAGGGUGCGUAGGCGGCCCGGUAAGUCAGUGGUGAAAGCCUCCAGCUCAACUGGAGAACUGCCAUUGAUACUGCCGGGCUUGAGUACAGACGAGGUUGGCGGAAUUGAUUGUGUAGCGGUGAAAUGCGUAGAGAUCGGAAGGAACACCAGUGGCGAAGGCGGCUACCUGGACAGAUACUGACGCUGAGGCGCGAGAGCGUGGGGAGCAAACAGG
rnacentral:rRNA from 1 species